UUUGGUUGUAAUAACAGAUGUGAAUGAUUGUUCUCCAGAAUUUCAACAAUCUGCUUGUAGCAGAGAGUUUGUCCAUGAAGCAGUUUCCAUGACUAUGUCAGUUCUUCAAGAUGUGAAGUUCAAAGACCGGAUGCCCUCUGAAAUUUUUCCACUCAAGACUCAUGGACAUCAUAAAGCUCUGUUAUUUCCAAUGAGAGACUGGGAACUUCAAGGUCAAGUAGAGCCUAUGUGCGUAUUUUUAUCAGCGACGUGAAUGAUAACAAGGCUGUCUUCACUCAGCCUUGUUUACGAAGUUAAUGUGGAUGAAGACCAGGAUGUGGGCCUUACUAUCGUCAUAGACAGAGCUAGUGACGAGGACCAAGGCCAAGCAAUGGCCUGGAAGCAACGAUUAUGCAAACAACCCUCCAGUCCAGCCACUGUUUUUGUCAAGUGUGAUCCCAGGGGCUUUUCAGAAGAGUCCAGAAACCCAGGGGUUUUUGUUGGGAACGCUAAUGCCUCCAAAUUCAUCACAGUCUGAAGAUAUCAAAGAGAAAAAUGAAGUGGACAGAUUUCUCAAAAGGAACGCACUGUGUAGCAUCUAAUGCUUUUGAGUUCAGGUUGGGUAUUUACUGAUGAAAGCGAGAAAGGAUGGGAGCCUCCUUCUGUGGGGUCCACAAGAGAUGUUUUGGAGAAUGGGAUUCCUUCAGUUGCCACUGUUUGUCAGAAUAUCAGGGAGCUCGGCAAGAAAAAAGGGUUCCCGAGUGGCUCCUAAGACCUGGGCAACGGAGACCACGUCAUCAGACUUCCCUCCUCCGGCACACACGAUGGUGAAUGGCCCCCAGGAUCCAGAGAGCAAAUGGAGAAUGUAUUCACCCUUAGCCACUGUGAUGGAGGUGGGAAAAGAGAAAUCUGGGCCUCAGCUGGACUUUUUUUCAAAAGAGGAUUAUCAACUCCAGCAGUCUGGUCCUUGGAAAGACUUGUCCUGUUAAUUUGAAUCACAGUUUUAAAGCUGCCCUGCAGGACACAUGGUCAUGGAGAAUGCAAUAGGAAGGCAACUGUUUCUACGUGUCCUAGCCAGUAUUGUUUUUCUGGAGACUCAGUGGAGAAAUCAAAAAGUUCUUGCUAUUGAUAACCUCAAAGAUAUUACGGAAAACACCCUCAGUCAUAAUAAAGAAGAGGGCUGGGAACAUGGCCAAGGGUUUGCAGAUUUACUACUUUUCAGCAUGAGAUGGAGAGAGAGAGAGCGAAUGGUGCGCAAAGGACUGCUGUCACUUCAGCGAUGACUGCCAAAAUGAGGACCACUGUCACGCCAGCAAGGAGGGGACCCUUCCAUGCCGGUUUUCCAGCCCGGAUUUCUCUACUCUCAUCUUCCCAGGGAUAUUAUUAGUUGGGAUGGUCUGAUUGCUGAUUUGCCUGGUUUCAUUGUUCUCUCACAUUAAAGAUUUAAGGUACUUGCUGAAAAGGUAACUUCUUUUUUUUUAAAAUAAAUUUCACUUUUAUAUCUUUUCCUCAAAUUAAUCUCCUUCUAAGUUUAAAUCCAAUCCUAUGUUUUUAAGGCAACCUAAACAGGUAGUGUGGAGAAUCUUGUUAGAUAUUUUAUAAAUUUAGUCAUAAGGGCCCAUUCCACAUGAACUGAAAUUCCAGGUUUUUUGGGCGAAGUCAGAUUUUCCACCUGUUUUAAUAUGUAAUGCACUUGAACUCACCCAUAUUGAUGACUGGUGCAGAGAAGGUUUUCUGAAAUUUAAGAACACUGAACCUGGGAAGAAAAAGAAAAUUUGAGCUGCAAUUUUGUUGCCUUAGGGUGGCUCUCUCUUGGGUAAAAAAAAUGAGGCCAAAAAAUCUCUUUGACUGGAUCCCAGGGUUCCAGAAUCUUCUAGUCAAAAAUAGCUUAAUUCAGAGGCUGGGCCCCGACCCCAAGGUUUAGUUAACUGUAAAAUGUAUGAAAAAACAAAAAUGCUGGCUGUCAACUCAUCACAGCAAAUAAUGUGGCAUUCAACUUUGCUUCUGGGGAAACCACAAUUGUCUUGCACUAAAAUCAUUACAGCAAUCAUAGUGUGCUGAAAUUUGCAGGCAAAGUAUAUACUUUCAGCUCUCUGUUAGAAUUUUUUUUUCUAAUUGAUCAGUCAUCUUAAAAUACUUACCUAUAUGUAAACUGGAAUCAAUGUUAAAACCGCUAUCUGAGAGGAGGCCUCUUGCACUAUCCAUUCUAACCUGUUUUGGAUUUGAACUAUUAUUUAGUAAAUGAAUGCAAAAUCUGAAGUGAGAUUUAAUUGCCUCAAACCCAAAAGUUUUUUGGGUUUUUGUGCUGUAAAGUGGAGGCAGACUCUUAGGAAUGCUGCCUAAAUGAUUUUACAUUUUUCUGAGCAGCUAACCCAGCGAGUUACAGGUGGGGAGACUAAUGGUGAAAAGUCAGGUGCAAACCAUUGAACUGGU